UCAUUGAAUUAAUAAAGGCAAACGGUUCAUUAACGCUUAUCCCCUUAACCUAUGGACGGAAAUAACCUCGGGAAACUGAGAAUAAUGCCCAAUAAAACAUUAUGCCGGGAAUGGUUUAUGUUCCAAAUGAUUUACCGCCGAAGGAGGGGACGGCGGCCUAUCAUUUUGUGGGGGAGGUAAUGGCCCACCAAAAUUAUUACAGGUACGGGUUCUGAAAGAAGUACCCCGAAGAUGGUUACUGAAACACGGACCCAGGCCCUAUGGGGCGCAGCAGGCAAAAAAACUUUGCAAGGUGCGAAAGCACGACAAGGUUAAUCCGAGUGGUUUCUGCUAAAGGAACCUUUUGUCGGUCCAAGAACCACCAAUAAUUAAGGGGUGGGCAAGUUC
rnacentral:rRNA from 1 species